AACCAGGAGACAGGUGCUGCAUGGCUGUCGUCAGCUCGUGUCGUGAGAUGUUGGGUUAAGUCCCGCAACGAGCGCAACCCUUAUCUUUAAUUGCCAGCAUUCAGUUGGGCACUUUAAAGAGACUGCCGGUGUUAAACCGGAGGAAGUGGGGAUGACGUCAAGUCCUCAUGGCCCUUAUGCUUAGGGCUACACACGUGCUACAAUGGGUGGUACAAAGAGAAGCCAACUCGCGAGAGCGCGCCAAUCUCAAAAAGCCAUCCUCAGUUCGGAUUGGAGUCUGCAACUCGACUCCAUGAAGUUGGAAUCGCUAGUAAUCGCGGACCAGCAUGCCGCGGUGAAUACGUUCCCGGGCCUU
rnacentral:rRNA from 1 species